UGGUCAUUGACUGCAGGCAUAUAAGUGAUUUAUAGAUGAAAGGAGCUCAAUCCUCUUCUCUUUUGUCCUUAAGAAGGAUUUAAGAGCGAGACACAGUCAGGUGCAAUUGUGGACGAAGUCCAAUAGGACGAAACGCAUAGGGCGGAGAGACCCAUUCAGCACUUGAACUUCAACUGGUUUUUAUUUAUUUAUUAAAUCCCUCUU